GUGCGGGGCCCCGCCAGGCGCUGGAGGCGGAGCCCGCCCGGCCCGUGUGUGUGCGGAGCUGGGAGCGGGAGGCGGAGCCCGCCCGGCCCCUAUUUAAGCGCAGCCCCGCCAGCUGCGGCGCUGUGAGCGCGGGGCGGAAGCGCCCGGCACGUCUUUCCCCUUUUCCGGGCGCAGGCGACGAGGAUGAGCCAGAGAGACACCCUGGUGCAUCUCUUCGCCGGCGGAUGUGGAGGUACUGUUGGUGCAAUUCUGACAUGUCCACUGGAAGUUGUGAAGACACGAUUGCAGUCCUCCUCUGUGACUCUCUACAUCUCUGAAGUUCAUCUCAACACUGUGAGUGGUGCUGGUGUCAACAGAGUGACCAGAGUUUCUCCUGGACCUCUCCAUUGUUUGAAGAUGAUCUUGCAAAAUGAAGGCCCUCGUUCUUUGUUCAGAGGGCUGGGUCCUAAUUUAGUAGGUGUUGCUCCUUCCAGAGCCAUAUAUUUUGCUGCUUACUCAAACUGCAAGGAAAAGCUGAACAGUAUUUUCAAUCCAGACUCUACCCAGGUACACAUGAUUUCAGCUGGUGUGGCAGGCAUUUACUGUACAUUUCUCCCGUGAAAAGAGUGAGAUCGUGUCAUCUCAUGCUCCCCACCCGCAGGUCACUUCCUGCAGAAAUAUGGACUAACUAAAACCUCGUUUUACUGCGAUCACAACAACUAAUCCCAUUUGGUUGGUAAAGACACGAUUACAGCUUGAUGCCAGGAAUCGUGGAGAAAAGCGAAUGAGUGCUCUUGAGUGUGUCCGAAAAGUUUAUCGGUCAGAUGGCGUUAAAGGCUUUUACAGAGGAAUGUCAGCAUCCUACGCAGGCAUAUCUGAGACUGUUAUUCAUUUUGUUAUUUAUGAGAGUAUUAAGAAAAAACUGCUGGAGUAUAAGACUGCUUCUCCAAUGGACAGUGAGGAUGAGUCGGCAAAAGAAGCAUCGGACUUUGUGGGAAUGAUGAUGGCUGCUGCCACUUCCAAAACUUGUGCAACAUCAAUAGCAUAUCCCCAUGAGGUUGUACGAACAAGACUAAGAGAAGAGGGAACAAAAUACAGAUCUUUCUUCCAGACACUGUCUUUGCUCGUGCGAGAGGAAGGGUACGGAUCCCUGUACCGAGGCUUAACCACGCACCUGAUCAGACAGAUCCCAAACACAGCUAUCAUGAUGUCAACCUAUGAAGUUGUAGUCUACUUGCUUGAUGGAUAGCAGUGUGACAAGGCUUCCUGGAAGAAGGUGGAAGAUGGAAAGACUGGAGUGGACCACUGAAUGUCAAUGCCAAUGUGGUGGGCGAAAGGAACGCUAUAUCAAGAACAAGCAGCUGUAGACAAAACAGAAGGUUGAUUGUGGGCAACUAUGAAUAAUUUUGCUGCCUUAUUGUGUGGUCUCUUGGCAGUGUGACAAAUAGGAACUGCCGCUUAAGGAAUGCCUUCAUACAUCUCUUAAUUCAAAAUUAUUACUUCCUUUUCAUCUGUUAAGCUAGACAAAGCCAUGGAGUCAUCUUCAGAGACCUGAUGGGUGAGGGAGGGAAGAUAAGAUAUGUUCUUGGGCAGCCUUAUUCACUUUUCUUAGUGAUUGUUCUGUUUUACUUCACAGUAACCUGUUGGAAGAAUGGACAAGGCAGUACUUCUGUAGAUUUCUAUACCUGAAGGUUCAUAAAGAGACUGAGGUAGUAGUCAGUGUGUAAAGUUUUCCAUGUUGCUACCUCAAGACAAAAUAUGGUGCAGGGACCCAGAACAGAGUUAUUUCUUCACUACAAAAGGUGAUACUUUUUGUAGUUUUUAGUUUGCUUAUGGUUGGGUUUUCCCCCCCCUUAAUUUUGAGCAGUGUUGUAGGUUAGCCAGAGAGAAUCUGAUUACUGAACUCUUCAGGUUAUCAGUCUGUUAAUACUGGAUGUAUGUGGAUUUCUGGUUCUGCUGUGUUGUCUUUUUUCUUUUUUGGAACUGUUGUUAAGUUAGAGAGACCUAUGAAACAUUGUCCUAUAUCAUCAGUUUUCCUUGCCAACCUGUUCAGGUCACUCACACAGCUAAGGAAGAAGUUGGUGAAUGCUACUUUAUAGCCUUUUUAAGGAUUUGUAAUGUGAUCAGAAAUCUUAACUAGUCCAGCCUCCUGUUUGUGAAGACAGGAUUGACACAGAUAGUUUCAUGCUGCCUAAGCACAAACUGUAUUACCCUUAAAUGUCUGGAUUACCUAUACUUUUAUGGAAGUACUGAGAGCACAUAUCACUGUGGCUAAAGUGACCAGAAAGCAGAAACCAGUUGAAGCUGUGAUAGAUCUUUUCAGUGCAGACAGGCUCUGUGCAGAAGGAUGGAGAAAAUUGCAGUUGAGAUUUUCUUGAAAGCAUUCCCCUUGAUGAUUGCUGUAUCACAUCUGUCAGCUUGAGCCUGUGUCCUGAACUGCAGCUGAUGGUGUAACCUUGUCCUCUACAUUGUCUGAAUAUUCAGACAUUGUUUUUACUCCAUAAGCCAAUAGCAAAGCAAUGGCUUGCAUUCAGCAGCGAGGCUUAGCUGUUUUUUUUGUCAUAAUUUACAGAGUUUUCCAAAAUCAUACAACUGAAGUGUUAAAAAGUUGAACAUUACAGGAACUUUUACAGCUUUCUAAAUAUCUCUGCAGUCUGCAUCCAUUAUCCUUAGGAGGAAGAUGAUCAUUAUAAAUUGGGGGCAAUAGCUUUCUACUCAUAAAUGCUGCUACACUGGCAUGGACAGAACUGUGCUAUCAACUCUUCCAGUGUGGUACUUCAGUACAUUUGAACUGUGCAUUGUGUGCAAUGGCUUUAUUUUAUGAAUGACUUCUUAUGCACUUUGCGGCCUUCUUAGGGCUUAUGAAUUUUCUUCCUCUUACUGAUUAUCUGUAGCCAAACUGUGUUUGAAAUAUGCAGUUGGGUUUUAAGCAAAGCAUGUGGUUUGAUUUCUGCGUAAGCUGUGCAAGAGUUCAUGCUGUGUAGAUCCAUAGCAUCUCUGCAGUGGUUCUGUAGGCUCUAUGUAAAAGCUCAAAGCUUGCAGAACAAUCAGUCUGGGUUUUUCUCAUUUUCUUUCCUUAAUUUUGACCCUUGUCAUGUUCUCCACUCAGUGUCAGAGUCCUUGAGUAUUUAAUGUAAUUUUCUAUAUUAAUUGCUCAUCCUCUAAAAGCCAUCCAUAGUGUGUACAGUGACCUUGCAAUGCAAAAUUGACUUCCCUUCUUGGAAAAUGUUAUCUUUUUAAAGACAUAGCAUGGUCUGAGAUGUGACCAUGGUGACUUGAUUGUUCCAAAGAAGUGAAAGGAGUGCUUAAAUGUCUUCUGAAGUGGGCUUUUUCUAGUGGUCUCUCCAGGAAAAGUCUGGAGUAUUCGUGACUCUGACCUAAGCCUUGCUGUGAUGCCAUUGUUCAGGAAUAGUGACUUACUGUAACUUUUGUUGUGUGGAAAGUGGGUCACUCUGCAGGCUAUCCAGAUAGUUCAGUCACAGCCAAAACUUAGAUUCAGCUUUGGAAUCCAUGAACGUGAUAAUCACUUGGAUUUGCAGAGGCUUCAUGAGUUACUCUCCCGUUUGGAAACAUUGUCCCUUGGUUCCGUGUUUGUCUCCCAUGAAUUCCCUGGGUACUGUGUGUGUGUGCCUUCUCUGGGGGAGAGCAGAGCCCCUUGAGUUGAUAUGGACACGUUAACAAGGACAACUGAAUACAGGAGGCAGCAGCUUAAAGUAGACAAUCAGUUUAUUAUUCCACUUCUUUAAUGGAUGUUCCAGCUUUGUUUUAAAUUUCAGGGGUGAUCUUUUUGAUUUGCUUUACAUAACCAAACAUAACGCCAAAAUUUCUUGGGAUUUUUUGCUGUUUUUUAAACUAUCGAUACCUGCAAAGUUACCUCUGAAAUAUUUCCCAAAGAUCUGUAAAUUAUUUAUAUAGUUUUCUUCAUAUUUAUUAUAAAAAGUCAAAGGGAAUAAAAAGAUGCUACAUUCAAUAAUAUCUUUUAAGUACAGAGCUGAAAGGAGUGCAUUUAAACUGGCCAUCUUGAUUUGUAUUUGAGUGUCGCGUAUUUGUGUCACGCUUGUCUGUGCUAGAGGCAGAGGUCUGGGAUGUCUGAAACUCAGUAAUUAAUUAAUUGGCUUCCCGCUGUUUCCCCUCGCCUGGGUCCGACCGAACUGGUUGGGUGCGGGAGGCUGCAGUUCCCCGGCGCGGCCCGCAGGUGGCAGCGGAGCACUCCCGCUCCGCUGAGCCGCGCUGGGAACACGGCGAGGAAAAGCCGUGGAAAACUGAUUCCCGUGAGCGCAGGCACAUUGCUGAGCCCCUCCUGUCCGUUCGGCUCCUGCAGUGCUGUGUGGAAACAGCUGAGCUGGGGUGUCUUGCGGGGGGCUGAGCCCAGCCUUUCACCUGAUGGAUGGAUUGAUUUAUUUUUAUUUUUUUUUCUGGUCUGCUCCUCUGUGUUGUUUGAAGUAGGUUUACAGUAGGGAGCUGUGGAGUUCUUGGUUGUUCUGACUGUAACUGAAACAUCACCUGUCCACUUGUAUAUUGACACUGAACCGAUCUAGUUCUCUGUUUACAUAAUGCACUCCGUAUGUUCCCUUGCUGAUUGAGAUGUUAAUGACAUCUGAUUGUUUGUUAAUGACAGUUUGUUAUUCUGUUUUUCUUAUGACCUCUGUAACAUUCCUCAGACUGUAGCAUUGUAAAAGGAUGCUUCCAGAGACAAAACAUUGGAGAGCCUUUAUAAGUGUUGCUUCCUGUUUAAACUGUUCAAAUUUGGAAACAAGCAGAAUGCUGAAGUGUGCCUAGGUAAAUGUACUUUUUUCAACUUUCUGUUUGUUAAGACUGAGUUAUGUUUUUUCGGUUCUUCUAUUUAAGAGUCUGCCUACCCUGCAUAUGUGAACGUAACUACACCCUCAGAGUCAUAGCUAAACACUCACAGAUGACAGUUUGAGAAUACUUCAAUGCUCAUGUGAGGUUGGCUAUUAUUCUUGCAUACAUGUAGUUGGCUGUAAACUAUGUGCAUUUACUCUGUAUUUAUAUAGUUAACUUUUUCGUUUGGAUUGCUUUAAACUUCAAAGCAAAUUAAAAUGAUGUGCUUCUCUUCAAAUGUUGCCUUCUGUGCUAAACUGUACACUGUUUUUAACCUUUGAAUUUUUCUAUUAUUGAUACAUACCAGUGCCUGGAGAGUUGUGAUUAAAAAUGAGCAAUUCAUUAGGA